rnacentral:lncRNA from 1 species
CCUGAGCUCCUUCCCUCAAGAAUGUUUUGGAGGGCGAUUGCCUGAAGAUUGUUUCCUUCUUGCUAGGUCUUCGGAGGAAACAAAGUCGGUGAGCCUUUCUGCAGCAGCAAUUGCCCCGACCACAUCGGUAACAUUCCUUCGAUUUAGCUCCUGUUGAGCCCAUGGUUUCAAACCAUCGAGGAAGCUGAACAACUUGUCCUUCUCGGACAUGUCUUGUAUGUCAAGCAUUAGUGCAGAAAAUUGUUUCACAUAGUCUCGGAUGGUGGUACUUUGGCGGAGUUGUCUCAACUUCCUUCUUGCGAAGAACUCUAUGUUCUCCGGUAGGAACUGAGUUCUCAACUCCCGCUUCAAGUCCUCCCAUGUGUCGACUCAACACCGACCUUGUUGGAUCUCCUCCUAACGGGUUCGCCACCAAAGUUUCGCAUCUCCGUUCAGAUACAUUGUUUUAUCUUCAAAAUUAGGCCUCGUAGCUCGGAAGUAUUAUUCCAUGUCGAACAGAAAGUUCUCGAGCUCUUUGGCAUCUCUAGCCCCUCCAUAUCCAUGAGGCUUAGGUGCCCUCAAAUUUUGUGGCGGUGCAACGCGGGUGUUACUUCCUCCCACAUUUAGUGUUCUUGUGAACAUGGCCACCUUUGCAGUGAGUUCC